GGUUAAGCGACUAAGCGUACACGGUGGAUGCCCUGGCAGUCAGAGGCGAUGAAGGACGUGCUAAUCUGCGAUAAGCGCCGGUAAGGUGAUAUGAACCGUUAUAACCGGCGAUUUCCGAAUGGGGAAACCCAGUGUGACUCGUCACACUAUCAUUAACUGAAUCCAUAGGUUAAUGAGGCGAACCGGGGGAACUGAAACAUCUAAGUACCCCGAGGAAAAGAAAUCAACCGAGAUUCCCCCAGUAGCGGCGAGCGAACGGGGAGGAGCCCAGAGCCUGAAUCAGCAUGUGUGUUAGUGGAAGCGUCUGGAAAGGCGCGCGAUACAGGGUGACAGCCCCGUACACAAAAGCGCAUGUGCUGUGAGCUCGAUGAGUAGGGCGGGACACGUGGUAUCCUGUCUGAAUAUGGGGGGACCAUCCUCCAAGGCUAAAUACUCCUGACUGACCGAUAGUGAACCAGUACCGUGAGGGAAAGGCGAAAAGAACCCCGGCGAGGGGAGUGAAAAAGAACCUGAAACCGUGUACGUACAAGCAGUGGGAGUACAGGUUUACCUGUGUGACUGCGUACCUUUUGUAUAAUGGGUCAGCGACUUAUAUUCUGUAGCAAGGUUAACCGAAUAGGGGAGCCGGAGGGAAACCGAGUCUUAAUUGGGCGUUAAGUUGCAGGGUAUAGACCCGAAACCCGGUGAUCUAGCCAUGGGCAGGUUGAAGGUUGGGUAACACUAACUGGAGGACCGAACCGACUAAUGUUGAAAAAUUAGCGGAUGACCUGUGGCUGGGGGUGAAAGGCCAAUCAAACCGGGAGAUAGCUGGUUCUCCCCGAAAGCUAUUUAGGUAGCGCCUCGUGAA
rnacentral:rRNA from 1 species